UACAGAGGUCUCAAGCGUUGUUCGGAUUCAUUGGGCGUAAAGGGUGCGUAGGCGGCGCGGUAAGUCGGGUGUGAAAUCUCGGAGCUUAACUCCGAAACUGCAUUCGAUACUGCCGUGCUUGAGGACUGGAGAGGAGACUGGAAUUUACGGUGUAGCAGUGAAAUGCGUAGAGAUGCGGAGAAACACCGAUGGCGAAGGCAGCCCCCUGGGCUAACACUGACGCUCAGGCACGAAAGCGUGGGGAGCAAACAGG
rnacentral:rRNA from 1 species